rnacentral:lncRNA from 1 species
AAAUAUCGUCAAAGAACUGAAAGAAGAUGGCGGGAGGUGGGCAAUAUCAUGUUUUAUUUCAUAUCAGACCAUUGCAAGUCCGCAAUACGAUGAUGUUAAACCAUUCUGGGUAAAGAUUACAUUGCAAUAUGUUCGCUGUGUAAUGCUUGAAUAUUUUAAUUCCUAAAGUACGUAAUCAUUUUCAUAAUCAGUCAAAGUCGAAGUUACCUUCGAAAUCAGUGUAGACAGAGCAAUCGCUUUGAUAUUCGUGAACGUUUUUUUUACAAGCAAACUGAUUAUGUACCUAGAUCCUUGUGACAUAGCAUAUUUCUUUAAUUUCAUGUUCAAAGGGCUAUAUGAUGUAUAUUAACAAUCCAAAAUGCCAUAAAUAGUACAUUGCCCACCAAACCGGAGAUGAUUUUGUUUGAUUCAGCAAACUUUGGGUUUACGAAGUUAAACAAAGAAAUGAAGGUUCCGAGAGCUCCAGUGAUUGCCACUGACCCACUGUUCAUCUCCAGUUCAACAGCAGCUGCCAAAUGGUCCUAGGAUAAUGAGCGCCUGUUUAGUGUAACUGAUUCGACAAUUACUUGCUUGGCCGUUUGCUUCGCAUCAGAGUGGUCCUAGUUCGCCCACCGUUAAUCCGGUUGAACAAAUCGAGUCGCAAACGGGAACUUCUGGUGGUUAUUCCAUGGAAAUUAACUUGGAAUUAGAAUUCCGUGAAGUGCUGCCAAGUUUGGAUCGUGGGCCAAACCAUUCAUCGGGCUGAAGAAAAUUUAUUUCUCUUGGAUGCGCAACAGCUCAUAUGUCUCAUCCAGGAGCAACUCGCUUACUGGUCCUCACUGGAAUCAAUCCCAUUGAAAUGGGAAUGGGAAUCCAGCAUAGAAAACCAUCAGCCGAAUUUUCCAGUGUCGUACCGAAUUAGAUCGGUGCCCAUCUUCGAAAUCGGAAGCCGCUGCUCCAGUCAAUCUACUAGACAGCUUUCAACCCUUUCUUUCAAUCGGCAAGCGUUGGACAACCCGAUGACAAGUAUAGUUGCUGCUUGGGGGAGUUUCUGUUAAUUUCUUUCUCAGAAUUUUACUUGGUGCAUCUGUCUGAAAUGGUGAAUAAUAACUGUAAAAAGAAGAAUACGGAUCAGAAACAGUGUUGGAGUAAAAAGUCGAAUUUGUCAAAGAAGUUGGAUAGAAAGGAGGAGAGUGUUCCCAGUUGUUCCAGUAGUAGGAGGAAUAGUCUUGCUGCUGUGGUUGCUGCUCCGUUCGGAAUCCAUUCGAGUUAUUGAAAUUGGACUCGGGACUAACGACGUCUUGUGGAUAGCUGGUAGCAAGCCAUUCGGAUUGAAGUGGAGACGACGAUGAUGAUUCGGACGUCGAGUAGUUGAUUGGUUCUACGGAUGAAACUGCCGAAGGAUCCGAAUAGAAUCCAGGAGUAGGAAGGACUUGAGGUGAGACAGACUAACCUUGUCGACUUUGACGAGAAACGUAAGGCGUUGAUCGACGAUGUUGGCGAUUUGUUUCACGAGUUAAUGUCGGGACUCGUGAAGAUCCAAGUUGGCGUGCACGUCGACGGCGAUUCUGAAACCACCACUGAUGCAAUCAAGAAGAGAAAUUAAUUUCAGAGACGCCAAUCAACUGGGCGAUGCGUCGGCGACCUUCUCGAUUGGGAAACGGAUCUCUGUUGAACUCUGCGUCGAGUAGCUCCAGCUGGACCUCGUCGUAAAAGUGGCGCUGACGACCUGAUGCUGAAGAAGACUUCGUGGUGGAAACAACUGGAUAAUAAUCUGAAAGAGAUCUGUUUCGUUCUUUGGCGCAGUGGAUGCUCUUUUUCCGACUUCAAAUAUUAUCCAGGCGGAAGUACUCAAUCGUCAUUGCUGUCCAGGAUCAACAGCUUAUUAGGAGAUUUACUUAGGUAUUAACCUUGCGGUGUUUCUUCUCGUCUUUGCCAGCUUAUCAGAUAAUCCAAAAUAUCCAGCCAGCUCAGCGUUUGACUUCUCAAAGCAAAGUUUGUAGAAACCCAGAAGGAAGGACAGAAGGAAAUGUUAUAAAAACCACUUUGAUUAUAAAAUUCAGGAGAAAAAAAAAGGUUUUGCUGGCUUCGUUUACACCUUUCUCCCGUGGCAAAAACCAUUCGAUGCCGUAAGUUAGGACUACAGUGACCCAACGACACCAGCCCCUUGAAGGUGGCAGUCACGACAUGAGAUAAUCAGCAUCCCGUUUAACUGGAGAAACUACCGAUGUCGGCCGAGUAUCUCUUCUUCUCCUUUUCUUUAAAUGUCCUCGUGUUACACCCAUGUGAGUGUGGGUGUAUUCACGAGGACCCCUUUUUCUCGACUGGAGGAUUCAACUCUUCAGCGGAUGAAACACUUGUGUAUGGUUCCCAGGCUUUAAGAUGAGAGCCAGAGGAGAAAUAGAAUGAAAGCUCGAAAAAUUGAUGGGACAAGGUGUCGAACUCUACUCUCGCCAGCCUUUAGCGUCGAAUGUUAUCAUCCUCAAACCUCUCAGCGCAUCUCCACUGCCUAGUUAGUUAAAGGAAAAGUUAAACUUCAUUUUAAUUUAGUUUAUCGUCGCUGCUCUCUUGGCAGUUGCUGUCGCCGCUCCUUCCGGCUACCAAUCAACCCAUUUACCAGUUAGUCAGUUACCCUCCCUUACCACCGCAGUAGGCAGGUAGCAACACCUACAAUACUUAUUAUAACAUUUUUUAUGAAUUUUUCGUGUUUUAUUUAUCUUAAGCUACCAUGAUCCCUGACAAAGUUUGAUUAAUUAAAUUAAAAUUCUUAAAAAUUCGUUGGAGUUCUAUUUUCUGUUACAAACGAUUCCCUCUUGAAAUUUUAGCUUAUUUGGACAGUGGAGAUAGGCGCUACAUCAUUGAUCAUACCCAAAUCAUAGAUAAAGACGACGUGAUCUUUAUCUGUGCCCAAAUCAUUUAUGAUUAUGAAAUCUUAUGAUUUAUGUUUUUGUCUGUUGAAUACUUGAAUUUUUUCAGAAUUUUAGUGUAUCCACCUUUUUCAUAUUCAUGCAACCUUGCCCACUCCCCCUCAUAUUGAUAUCAUUAAAAAUGGACGCCGUCUUCUUGACAGUGCGUGUUUUAACUUGUGAUGGUGUGAUUGUUUUGAGAGUUAUUCACUGCAUUUUGGUAAUUAACUUUCCAUUUCAUGAAUAUUAGCAUAUUUAAGGUUAUUUAUCUGGUUUUUAUUGUAUCAUAGGAGUUUUUCAUUAACUGAAUCGCUGUAAAACAGAGCAGCAAGCAGAGCAACGUUGUUUAACAAAGACCUUCCCGGUUCACCCAUCGUGUCAUUUGACAAUUUCACAAUUGUUUUGUGGUUUCUGAUACGAGGUCAUUGGGCCUAUGACUCCGACUCCAGGAAACCGACUGAAACUGAAUCGUCAAUUCUUUGAACUCGCCAGGAAAGUUACGUAAUGGAUAAACGAGUUCGUUCUUCAAGAAUCGUGAGAAUUCGACUUUGCCCACGCGAGUUAGGAACUUUAAAGAGACGGCACCUCCAAGUAAAUCACGACGCUGUACGGCUGUAGUUGCUGCACGGCUGUAGUUGCUGCUUUCUUAAUAAAUGCUGAUUUUGAGGCAACAGGCAACGCUGCUCUCUUUUGACAUGGUACAGGAUUGACAGCACCUUGACCAGUUUGACACCUUCGAGGCAGAAGCCUAGACGCCACCCUAUUGGCAUUUCCAUAUCUCUGACGUUGUUCGAAAACUGUGUAGGUUGAUUGCUUCACGGGCUGUAGGUACCUACACUGACUUUGCCUGGAUGCCAGUUGUGAUUUGUGGUGUUAGAUCUUUGCCCGAGCCCAAACAAGUAUGGAUACUGCAUGCUGAUUGUAUUUGAUGAUUUGAUGUUCGGCAACUGCUCAAUCUGAAAAGUGCUGAUGAUUUGUUCCUGUCAGAGAAUUUAUAGUAGUAAGUUGAAUGUUCAUCUUGAAAUGAUAGAGGAAAUCUGAUGGAAUCUACUCUCUUAACAACAAGGGGAUUCAACAAUAUUGAGUUACAAAUUAAGUUUGUAUAGCAGUUACUUGAGUUGAGCAAUAGUAAUAUAUAAUUUCUGCUAUGUUAUUUAUUCUGUAUGAGUGAGAAAUGAAAUAUACUAAUUAUAAGUGA